AAAAGUUUGGUCCUAGCUUUAUCAUCAAUUAUAUCUCGACUUACACAUUGCAAGUAUCCACAUACCUGUGAGGCCGCCUUUCCCACUACCCCAGAAGAAAGAGCAGGUAUCAGGCACAAACCCAGCCUAAAACACCAAGUUUCACCACAUCCACAAGGACAUGCAGCAGUGAUUAACAUUAUUCAUAAGCGACAGCUUGACCUAGUUAGAGAUAUCAAGAGCCGGCUAACCUGUGUGCCAGCCGCCGCGGCUAAACCAAGGGCUCAAAUUGAUUAUUCUCGGCGUUAAGCGUGAUAUUGGGCCACAAUUAAUUAGAGCUAAACAAGGAUCCAGUUGUUAUAAGCCUAUCUAUUAGAAAGCCAAAGAUAAAACCUACUCUAAAUACUGCCUGACACACGACAGCUAACCCACAAACUAGGAUUAGAUACCCUACUAUGCUUAGCCGUAAACUAAAUUACACUCUCAACCGCCUGGGUAUUACAAGCUACGCUUAAAACCCAAAGGACUUGACGGUGACCCAUCCGACUAGAGGAGCCUGUUCUACAAUUGAUAACCCCCGCUUCACCCCACCUUCACUAGCAUACCCAGCCUGUAUACCUCCGUCGUAAGCUUACCAUAUGAACGUUAAAUAGUGGGCUUAAUUAAUUAUCUUAAACACGUCAGGUCAAGGUGCAGCCAAUGGGAAGGAAAGCAAUGGGCUACAAUUUCUACUAUAGAAUAAACGAAAAGUUAUAUGAAACUCUAACCCAAGGCGGAUUUAGUAGUAAGAGAGAAGCAGAGGGCCUCUCUUAAUAUGGACCUGGGUCGCGUACAAACCGCCCGUCACCCUCUUCAAUGUCAAUAAACUAUUACUAAUAUUAAUUUACACAAAAGAAGAGGCAAGUCGUAACAUGGUAAGCGUACUGGAAAGUGCACUUGGAACAA
rnacentral:ncRNA from 1 species